GUGCUUACUUCAGCAGCACAUGUACUAAACUUGGACCAACACAGAGAUGAUUAGCAUGGCCCCUGUUCAAGGAUGACAUGCAAAUAUGUGAAGUGUUCCCCAAAAAA
ensembl:snRNA U6 U6 spliceosomal RNA